UGGGGAAUCUUGGACAAUGGGGGCAACCCUGAUCCAGCCAUGCCGCGUGUGUGAAGAAGGCCUUCGGGUUGUAAAGCACUUUCAGCAGGGAGGAAGGCUUUGGCCGAAUAGGUUGAAGUACUUGACGUUACCUGCAGAAGAAGCACCGGCUAAUUUCGUGCCAGCAGCCGCGGUAAUACGAAAGGUGCGAGCGUUAAUCGGAAUUACUGGGCGUAAAGCGCGCGUAGGUGGUGUGUUAAGUCGGAUGUGAAAGCCCUGGGCUCAACCUGGGAAUGGCAUCCGAUACUGGCCCGCUAGAGUGCAGUAGAGGGAGGUGGAAUUUCCGGUGUAGCGGUGAAAUGCGUAGAGAUCGGAAGGAACACCAGUGGCGAAGGCGGCCUCCUGGACUGACACUGACACUGAGGUGCGAAAGCGUGGGGAGCGAACA
rnacentral:rRNA from 1 species